UGCGUAGGUGGGCAGGUAAGUCAGUGGUGAAAUCCUGUAGCUUAACUACAGAACUGCCAUUGAUACUAUUUGUCUUGAAUACUCUGGAGGUGAGCGGAAUAUGUCAUGUAGCGGUGAAAUGCUUAGAUAUGACAUAGAACACCCAUUGCGAAGGCAGCUCACUACGGAAAUAUUGACGCUGAGGCACGAAAGCGUGGGGAGCAAACA
rnacentral:rRNA from 1 species